UCCGCACCUUUGAAUCCAAGUUCUGGACCUCACCGUGUGGUCAUCAACCUAUUUCUCUUUUCAUACCUACACCUCUCUUUUCACUUUUUCAUUUUUCUUUCUUUUGUCACUCUUCUCUUCCUUCUCAAUACUGUAGUCGACCACCACCACCAUCACCCCGUUCUCCCACUUAUACAGUCUCUCUCUUAUAAAAUCUAGCUAGGCAGGUAUUCGGUGGAGUUGCAAAUUCAACCGAAUCAAACCCUUGUUUUGGUCUUAACUUUUAAUUGAUAUCGUGUUGAAGCUUGUGAACAAAAUCUAAACCAAUUAGAUGCUCAACUCAUAAAUUAAAGAUGGCUGGUGGCGACUAACUUCAGAAAACAUGCUCUUUGGAGAAGCUAUUGUCUCUAAGUAUGGUUCCACUGGUUUGGACAUGGAAACUAAAGUGCCAAAUGAAACCUCAAAGUUUGAAAAUUGGAUUUAUUUCUUUUUGAAAUUAUGCAAGUCUUUUUUCUUUAAAAAUUAUGCAAUUUUUUUUUCUUUAAAAUUAUGCAAGUAGACUGUUCUUCUGUGCUUGUCUAGGAAGACCAACGGUCAGUUAGCAAUGCUGCUAUCAAGGGCAGAUUAAAGAAGUGUGCAACCUCAAAGGUUCACAGCUAUUUUGAGCCUGUUUAUUUCUCGUCUGCCCAAGGUCACUUGAAAUCGAGCUUUCACAAAUUAAUCAGGAAGUGUUUCUGUAAAAUCUUGUUAUGCAAAGUUAUAUAGGGAAGGGGCAAGAAAUGCCUAUCUUAAAGCUUAGUUUUUGGUCAAGGUCAUCAUAGAAUUGGCUUCUUUCUUUGGAUAGUUUACAAUAAGAGAUUGGUCAUGAUGGACAUUCUUUACAGGGAGGGGAAGUUACGGUUCUUUACACUGUGUUUACCAGAUAACUACACAGUGGAAGAUGUCAAGAACAUGUCGCGUAUCAACACUACAACUUUUUUGUUAAUGGUACCUUCUUUUAGAUCUUAUGUGAAUGGUUCAUUGCAGCUUGUCUGGUAUAGAGAUAGUUAUUUCCUUACUGCUGCACAUAGCAUGCCAGUUGCUCUUUUGUACAACAGCUCAAAAGAAAUCUAUAAAGAAUCAGUUUUA